CUGGAAGAGAAGAGGGAAGAGAAAAGGAAGAGAAGAGGAAGAAGCAAGAUAAGAAGAGGAAAAGCCAAAAGGAGGAGUUGCAGGGGAAGAGGAAACAUGCUCGUUCUGAAUUUAUCCAAGGAGCUACAAGAGAGGAGCUACAAUCGAGACUCUCCAUCUAUGACACAUGGCCAAAGAGUGACCAGAUCCCCAUUGGUAGGAUCACCGGUGGCUAACACAUGGAGGUCUUCCCUUGGGGUUCUAGCGAGAGUUGCAGCCUCAAAAAAGUCGUCCGUGAUGUCAUCAUCUAUAUUAGGAUCCCCUUCUUCGGCAACUACUUCAUUUGUACCACGUAUCCACAAGACACGAAGAUUAACUUCUGUUGUUUGGAGGGAUGCCAAACCUAUUUAUCAUCAUAACAUACUUGUCAAAGCUCAGUGCAACCAGUGUCUUGAGGUGUUUCCAGCUGGAUGUGGCGUGGGUACUAAUGGUGUACAAAGGCACUUGGCUGCUUGCGAAAAAAAGUCAGAUUUGUCCCUUGUUGUUGACAAGUUGAAGUCCUCAGUUUCAUCUCCUCAUGGAUCUAUGCUUCAGCAAUGGAGUUUUGAUCAGAUUGCAUCUAGAAAGUUGUUGGCUAGAAUGAUAGUAAUGGAUGAGUUACCUUUCUCAUUUGUUGAGUAUAGUGGCUUUCGAGAC